ensembl:lncRNA
GUGACUGAUUGGGAUGAUGUGCAGCUGGGCGAGUGCGAGUGUGCUUGAAGGGGCCGGAGAGGGAGUUAAAUCUCUCAAUGCUGGAUGAAAGUCUCCGUGCGGGAGUUUUCUAAAAAUACCUCACCCCUCACCCCUGAAAUGGUAGUAGGGCAACCCACUCCAGAAGUUGUCAGGAGUUUUGUUCCGGACAAAUCUAGGUGGAGCAAGCACUGAGUUUGUCCCAGCAUGAACAGGUGCUGAAUUUUGGGUUUCCAGCUUCUACAAAGAAUAGCUAGUCAACAGAACAUUGACAUCUUUGCUGCUGAUUGCCAUGUGACUCUCACCUGGUUGCCCCCAUAUUCAGCAGACCCCAUGGAUCACCUCCCUGUUGAUGUGAAAAUGCAGGACGCUGUGCUCCUUCCAUCAUGGAAACCAGGUCAUUGGAUGAUAUGUAUCUUGAAGCCCAAACCGAAACAAAUAUUUUUCCUCAACUCAAUGGGAGGCCCUGGCAUUGGUGAUGCCGCU